AGUGAACGCUGGCGGUAGGCCUAACACAUGCAAGUCGAACGAGUGGCGGACGGGUUAGGAAUACAUCGGAAUCUACUCUGUCGUGGGGGAUAACGUAGGGAAACUUACGCUAAUACCGCAUAAGAUUGCAUGUGCCGAUGUCGGAUUAGCUAGUUGGCGGGGUAAAGGCCCACCAAGGCGACGAUCCGUAGCUGGUCUGAGAGGAUGACCAGCCACACUGGAAAGGAGACACGGUCCAGACGCCGACGGGAGGCAGCAGUGGGGAAUAUUGCACAAUGGGCGCAAGCCUGAUGCAGCCAUGCCGCGUGUAUGAAGAAGGCCUUCGGGUUGUAAAGUACUUUCAGCGGGGAGGCGUUACCCGCAGAAGAAGCACCGGCUAACUCCGUGCCAGCAGCCGCGGUAAUAC
rnacentral:rRNA from 1 species